GAAAACACUUGAACAAGUGUUGGCCUGAUCCGAAGUUCCUUUCUGCAGAGUAUCUUUGCUUAUCUUGCCCAGUACCCGAUGCCACGUGGAAAUGGAGUGGCUCUUAAUUAAGACAGGAUUUCACCAUGUUGCCCAGGCUGGUCUCAAACUCCUGGGCUCAAGCAGUCCUCCCACCUUGGCCUCCCAAAGUGCUGGGAUUACAGGCAUGAGCCACUGCACUCAGCCACAUUACCUAUAUCUUAAAGCCAAAUUAUGUUGAAUUCACAAGUAACAAAUGUUCAUCGAGAAAAAUGAGAAAAUACAGACAAGCAAGAAGAAAAAAAUAAAAGCAUUGAUAGUCCUAAUCACAAUUAACAUUUUGGUGUAAACCCAUUUUAUUUCUAAGCAUGUAUACGCAC
rnacentral:lncRNA from 1 species